UACGAAGGGGGCUAGCGUUGCUCGGAAUUACUGGGCGUAAAGCGCACGUAGGCGGCUUGUUAAGUCAGGGGUGAAAUCCUGGAGCUCAACUCCAGAACUGCCUUUGAUACUGGCGAUCUCGAGUCCGGGAGAGGUGAGUGGAACUGCGAGUGUAGAGGUGAAAUUCGUAGAUAUUCGCAAGAACACCAGUGGCGAAGGCGGCGCACUGGCCCGGAACUGACGCUGAGGCGCGAAAGCGUGGGGAGCAAACAGG
rnacentral:rRNA from 1 species